UUGCGGUAGCCGCAGUCACGGAAUCACUUCUCCUAGACGGUGUCAAGGCAACGGCGGUAACUACGCAACAUUCAUUGGUUACUUUCAAACAGGAAGAUGAUGGCAUCCUCCUCAACUCCAAGCUUGGGCUGUUUCUGCAUUCAUUGCGAAUACCUGCAAGAAUGCUGAUGAGAAGCAGCAAGUCUUGGAUAUCUGUCUGUUUUAGACUCCCACUGAAAAAUAAUCUGGAUCAAGAUAGAAUUGGAAAAAGGUAAAGUUUGAAUAUGGUGAACCAUUUUUGCGGUGAUGUGGCCAAAUGUCUUGUCAUCUCGAAAAUAAAUAGACAUAUAACCACCAACCAAACUGCUCACCUCCUCCCAGCCAAUCACUGCCUCUGUGGAUAAACUGACCUACUGCUGGAGCUCCAUCUUCUCAAAACAGAUUUACCAUCUGAAAAUCAAACAAUUCACUUCUCAAAUAUCAAAAAUAAUCACCUUCCUUUUUCUCCUAUGUGGAUCUAGACCAUUACUUAACUAUGUGCAAUUUCUUAGUCUUGUUCUUCAUCCCAAAUAAACCAUUCAAAUCAUUUAUUGGUGACCAUAAUUGUUGCCAGAACUGUAGUCUCAGCAUGACACGGUGUGACUUUACUGGGAUCUUAGAAAAGACCAGGGGUAAAAGUAGGCGGGUAUGGAAAGUAGUUUUAAAC